GUAGGUGAACCUGCGGAAGGAUCAUUACAGAGAGGGGCUUCACGCUCCGGGGGGUCUCGGCCCCCGACUCUCAACCCCGUGACUAUCUCCCCCUGUUGCUUUGGCGGACCUUGGGGUCAUGCUCAUGCCGGUAACCCCGGCGAGUGCCCGCCGUAAGCCCAUCAAAACUCGUUUUAUUUAUCAGUGUCCGAGCUUGAUUUCAAUUAAGCAAAACUUUCAACAACGGAUCUCUUGGUUCUGGCAUCGAUGA
rnacentral:misc_RNA from 1 species